AAAAAGUUUUAUUUUUGCUUAAAAUAUUAAUAUAUAAUUUUUUUACAUGUAAGUUAAAGCGAUUUAAAGUAUAUAAUUUUAAAAAUUAUUAUUUUCUGAUUUAUUCGCAGUUUUUAGUUUUUUAUAUUUAAGAAAUUAAGAUUAAGAAAUUUAUUAUAGUAUUAACAAAAUUUGUGCCAGCAGUUGCGGUUAUACAAAUAAUAUAAUUAAUAUUUUUUAAUUAAUAAUUAAUUUUAUUAUUAAUAAGUAAAAAUUAAAUUUAUUAAGUGAAAUUUUAAAUUUAAUUAAAUUUAUAAAUAAUAUUUUGAAGUUAUUAAAUUUUUUUAUAAACUAGGAUUAGAUACCCUAUUAUUUUAAAUGUAAAUUUUUAUGUUAAAUUAGUAUUAGUUAUUUUCUUGAAAAUUAAAAAAUUUGGCGGUAUUUUAGUCUUUUCAGAGGAACCUGUUCUAUAAUCGAUAUUCCACGAUUAAUUGUACUUAUUUUAUUAGUUUAUAUAUCGUCGUAGUUUGAAUAUUUUAAAAGAAUUUAAAUAUUCAAAAUUUAAAAUUAUAAAUUAAAUCAGAUCAAGGUAUAGCUUAUGAAUAAGAAGAAAUGGGUUACAAUAAAUUUAUUUAUAUGAAAUUUUAAUUGAAAUAUUUUAAUGAAGGUGGAUUUGAAAGUAAUAUAAUUUAUUUUAAUUAUAUGAUUUAAGCUCUAAAAUAUGCACAUAUCGCCCGUCGCUCUCAUAUAAAGUGAGAUAAGUCGUAACAAAGUAGAUGUACUGGAAAGUGUAUCUAGAAUGAU
rnacentral:ncRNA from 1 species